rnacentral:rRNA from 1 species
UACGGGAGGCAGCAGUAGGGAAUCUUCCGCAAUGGACGAAAGUCUGACGGAGCAACGCCGCGUGAGUGAUGAAGGUUUUCGGAUCGUAAAACUCUGUUGUUAGGGAAGAACAAGUACGAGAGUAACUGCUCGUACCUUGACGGUACCUAACCAGAAAGCCACGGCUAACUGA